rnacentral:misc_RNA from 1 species
GUGGGUCGAGAACGGGAACGUCAUGCCAAAGGUCAGCGGUUCGCCGCCGCUCUUGCGACGGGCCGCCGCCACCCGCGCCAGCGCCUUCGCCGUCACCAGUGGACUAGCCGGAUCGNNNNNNNNNNNCGUAUAUAGAGCCGGCGACACCGUGAUCGCGUUGCCGUUCAGCCCGAGAUUGAAGGGCGCGAUGAUCGGCCCCUUGACCUGCGACAGGCCGAGCGUCGAU